AUGCUCACUUAGGCAGCAUAUAAAAUAAAAUUGGAUCUAUACAGAAAAGAUUAGCAUGGCCCCUGCACAAGGAUGACACGCAAAUUCAUGAAGUGUUCCAUAUUAAA